UACGAAGGGGGCUAGCGUUGCUCGGAAUCACUGGGUGUAAAGCGCACGUAGGCGGACUCUUAAGUCGGUGGUGAAAUCCUGGAGCUCAACUCCAGAACUGCCUUUGAUACUGGCGAUCUUGAGUCCGGGAGAGGUGAGUGGAACUGCGAGUGUAGAGGUGAAAUUCGUAGAUAUUCGCAAGAACACCAGUGGCGAAGGCGGCUCACUGGCCCGGUACUGACGCUGAGGUGCGAAAGCGUGGGGGAGCAAACAGG
rnacentral:rRNA from 1 species